AGGGGCGUCUUCGCACGUCGUUUCAGACCAAAUCAAGAAACUCUUCGACUAAGGAAAUAUCUUGAGGUUGAACGUGAACCAGGGGCGAAGGUGUUGAGCAAUGGCAAUAAUAAAUAGCACUAGGAUGCCCAAAGAAGUGUGUCUUCACACAUACUUCUUUGUCUUGGACUCUUCCGCUGCACUAGCAAUUUUGUACUAGGAUUUCUCAAACCUAGUUAUCGUACUUUGAUUUUGAUUGGCCA